rnacentral:rRNA from 1 species
CAAGCGCAUAGCCGGGUAGCCAAGCCGGGACGGGAUAAACGCUGAAGGCAUCUAAGCGUGAAGCCCCCCUCAAGAUGAGAUUUCCCAUGGAGAAAUCCAGUAAGACCCCUUGAAGACUACGAGGUAGAUAGGGCAGAGGUGGAAGUGCAGUAAUGUACGGAGCUGACUGUUACUAAUCGGUCGAGGGCUUGAUUAA